UACGUAGGGUGCAAGCGUUGUCCGGAAUUAUUGGGCGUAAAGAGCUUGUAGGCGGUUUGUCGCGUCUGCUGUGAAAUUUCGGGGCUCAACUCCGAGCUUGCAGUCGAUACGGGCAGGCUAGAGUUCGGUAGGGGAGACUGGAAUUCCUGGUGUAGCGGUGAAAUGCGCAGAUAUCAGGAGGAACACCGAUGGCGAAGGCAGGUCUCUGGGCCGAUACUGACGCUGAGGAGCGAAAGCGUGGGGAGCGAACAGG
rnacentral:rRNA from 1 species